rnacentral:rRNA from 1 species
GACGAACGCUGGCGGCGUGCUUAACACAUGCAAGUCGAACGGAAAGGCCCCUUUGGGGGUACUCGAGUGGCGAACGGGUGAGUAACACGUGAGUAACCUGCCCUUGACUUCGGGAUAACUUCAGGAAACUGGGGCUAAUACCGGAUAGGAAUCAUUGCUGCAUGGUGGGGGUUGGAAAGCUUCGGCGGUUUUGGAUGGACUCGCGGCUUAUCAGCUUGUUGGUGGGGUAGUGGCUUACCAAGGCUUUGACGGGUAGCCGGCCUGAGAGGGCGACCGGCCACAUUGGGACUGAGAUACGGCCCAGACUCCUACGGGAGGCAGCAGUGGGGAAUAUUGCACAAUGGGCGGAAGCCUGAUGCAGCAACGCCGCGGGCGGGAUGACGGCCUUCGGGUUGUAAACCGCUUUCAGCAGGGGCGAAGCUUGUGGUGACGGUACCUGCAGAAGAAGCACCGGCUAACUACGUG